AACGAACGCUGGCGGCAUGCCUAACACAUGCAAGUCGAACGAGAUCUUCGGGUCUAGUGGCGCACGGGUGCGUAACGCGUGGGAAUCUGCCCUUUGGUUCGGAAUAACAGUUGGAAACGACUGCUAAUACCGGAUGAUGACGAAAGUCCAAAGAUUUAUCGCCAGAGGAUGAGCCCGCGUAGGAUUAGCUAGUUGGUGUGGUAAAGGCGCACCAAGGCGACGAUCCUUAGCGGGUCUGAGAGGAUGAUCAGCCACACUGGGACUGAGACACGGCCCAGACUCCUACGGGAGGAAGCAGUGGGGAAUAUUGGACAAUGGGCGAAAGCCUGGUCCAGCAAUGCCGCGUGAGUGAUGAAGGCCUUAGGGUUGUAAAGCUCUUUUACCCGGGAUGAUAAUGACAGUACCGGGAGAAUAAGCUCCGGCUAACUCCGUGCCAGCCGCCGCCGUAA
rnacentral:rRNA from 1 species